rnacentral:sRNA from 1 species
UUCGAUCCACUUCCCAAACCAUGCGAUGC